AGUAAUACAUCGGAACGUGUCUUCUAGUGGGGGAUAACUGCCCGAAAGGGCAGCUAAUACCGCAUGAGACCUGAGGGUGAAAGCGGGGGAUCGCAAGACCUCGCGCUGGAAGAGCGGCCGAUGUCCGAUUAGCUAGUUGGUGAGGUAAAGGCUCACCAAGGCGACGAUCGGUAGCUGGCCUGAGAGGACGACCAGCCACACUGGGACUGAGACACGGCCCAG
rnacentral:rRNA from 1 species